rnacentral:misc_RNA from 1 species
GAUGAAGAACGUAGUGAAAUGCGAUAAGUAAUGUGAAUUGCAGAAUUCAGUGAAUCAUCGAAUCUUUGAACGCACAUUGCGCCCAUUAGUAUUCUAGUGGGCGUGCCUGUUCGAGCGUCAUUAAGUCCACUUAAGCCCUGCUUAGUGUUGGGAGACUGCUCCAGCGGUGCUACCCUGUAGCUACCCUGCAGCUCCUCAAAGACAGCGGCGGAGUUGUGGUAUCCUCUGAGCUUAGUAACUUGUUCUAGCUUUCGAGUACACCACUUCCCCUGCCGUAAAACCCUUAAUUUUUAAUGGUUGACCUCGGAUCAGGUAGGAAUACCCGCUGAACUUAAGCAUAUCAAUAAGCGGAGGA